GGUCCGGUAGUUCAGUUGGUUCAGAAUGCUGCCCUGUCACGGCAGAGGUCGCGGGUUCGAGUCCCGUCCGGACCGCCA
rnacentral:tRNA from 1 species